GGGUUGUGAGGUUAAGCGACUAAGCGUACACGGUGGAUGCCCAGGCAGUCAGAG
rnacentral:rRNA from 1 species